rnacentral:rRNA from 1 species
UACGUAGGGUGCGAGCGUUGCCCGGAUUUAUUGGGCGUAAAGGGCGCGUAGGCGGCCACGCACGUCCGUUGUGAAAUCGCCCGGCUCAACUGGGCGGGGUCAGCGGAUACGGUGUGGCUCGAGCAAGCUAGGGGGCAAUGGAAUUCCCGGUGUAGUGGUGGAAUGCGUAGAUAUCGGGAAGAACACCUAUGGCGAAGGCAGCUCUCUGGGACGGUACUGACGCUGAGACGCGAAAGCGUGGGGAGCGAACAGG